rnacentral:rRNA from 1 species
GGCAUGCGGCGUGCUAUACAUGCAAGUCGAGCGGACAGAUGGGAGCUUGCUCCCUGAUGUUCAGCGGCGGACGGGUGAGUAACACGUGGGUAACCUGCCUGUAAGACUGGGAUAACUCCGGGAAACCGGGGCUAAUACCGGAUGCUUGAUUGAACCGCAUGGUUCAAUUAUAAAAGGUGGCUUUUAGCUACCACUUACAGAUGGACCCGCGGCGCAUUAGCUAGUUGGGGAGGUAACGGCUCACCAAGGCAACGAUGCGUAGCCGACCUGAGAGGGUGAUCGGCCACACUGGGACUGAAACACGGCCCAAACUCCUACGGGAGGCAGCAGUAGGGAAUCUUCCGCAAUGGACGAAAGUCUGACGGAGCAACGCCGCGUGAGUGAUGAAGGUUUUCGGAUCGUAAAACUCUGUUGUUAGGGAAGAACAAGUACCGUUCGAAUAGGGCGGUACCUUGACGGUACCUAACCAAAAAGCCACGGCUAACUACGUGCCAGCAGCCGCGGUAAUACGUAGGUGGCAAGCGUUGUCCGGAAUUAUUGGGCGUAAAGCGCGCGCAGGCGGUUUCUUAAGUCUGAUGUGAAAGCCCCCGGCUCAACCGGGGAGGGUCAUUGGAAACUGGGGAACUUGAGUGCAGAAAAGGAGAGUGGAAUUCCACGUGUAGCGGUGAAAUGCGUAGAGAUGUGGAGGAACACCAGUGGCGAAGGCGACUCUCUGGUCUGUAACUGACGCUGAGGCGCGAAAGCGUGGGGGAGCGAACAGGAUUAGAUACCCUGGUAGUCCACGCCGUAAACGAUGAGUGCUAAGUGUUAGAGGGUUUCCGCCCUUUAGUGCUGCAGCAAACGCAUUAAGCACUCCGCCUGGGGAGUACGGUCGCAAGACUGAAACUCAAAGGAAUUGACGGGGGCCCGCACAGCGGUGGAGCAUGUGGUUUAAUUCGAAGCAACGCGAG